CACGUCAGCGUGCUUUGCUAACGUGGCAGCAAAUCGCGUCCUAGAGGGCGCGAUUUGUUGCCACGUCAGCAAAUCGCGCUGGCGUGA
rfam:Gossypium raimondii Chr07_contig_705, whole genome shotgun sequence.